GAGACGCGGCCGCGUGAGGACGAGGCGAUUUGAAAACACGCUUCGGGAGCGAGAGGCUGAGGCCGGUGGCGCCCGCCGUUGCCCACUGGGCUCUUCCUCGCACGUUCUUCCCCUCUGCCUCCGCGCCCGGGUCCCGGCCGGGUCCGCAGUACUCAAGAAUGACCAAAAAAAGAAAACGCCAAGAUGAUUUUCAGAAAGUAAAACUAAAAGUUGGUAAGAAGAAGCCCAGGUCAGAAAAUUCUACUCUUACAAACUUUAAAACGAAGACUAUACAUCUGCCUGAGCAGCUCAAAGAGGAUGUAACACUUCCAACAAACAAUAGAAAACUUAACAUAAAGGAUUUGCUGUCACAGAUGCAUCACUACAAUGCUGGGGUUAAACAAAGUGCUCUUCUUGGACUUAAAGACCUUUUGUCUCAAUACCCAUAUAUAAUUGAUGCACACCUCUCAAACAUAUUAAGUGAAGUGACUGCUGUGUUUACAGAUAAAGAUGCUAAUGUACGAUUAGCAGCAGUUCAACUUCUUCAAUUCCUGGCCCCCAAAAUACGAGCUGAACAAAUUUCUCCAUUUUUUCCUUUGGUAAGUGCCCAUCUCUCUAGUGCCAUGACUCACAUUACUGAAGGAAUUCAGGAGGACUCUUUAAAAGUUUUGGACAUUCUGCUGGAACAGUACCCAGCUCUGAUUACUGACCGUAGCAGUAUAUUGCUUAAGAAUUUUGUAGAACUUAUUUCUCAUCAGCAGCCGUCCAAAGGACUGGUAAAUAGAGACAGAUCCCAGUCCUGGAUACUUUCUGUAAAUCCUAAUCGGAGACUCACUUCUCAGCAGUGGAGGCUGAAAGUCUUAGUGAGACUCAGUAAAUUCCUUCAGGCCUUGACAGAUGGAUCCAGUAGGUUGAGAGAAAGUGAAGGACUUCAGGAACAAAAAGAAAAUCCCCAUGCCACUAGCAACUCCAUUUUUAUCAACUGGAAGGAACAUGCCAACGACCAGCAACACAUCCAGGUUUAUGAAAAUGGGGGUUCACAGCCAAAUGUCAGUUCACAGUUCAGGCUACGGUAUCUGGUUGGAGGACUAGGCACUGUGGAUGAAGGCCUGUCGUCUACUGAAAACUUGAAAGGAUUUAUUGAGAUAAUAAUUCCAUUGCUAAUUGAGUGCUGGAUUGAAGCUGUGCCUCCACAACUAAUGGCUUCUGUUGGAAAUGGUAUAGAACGAGAACCUCUGCAGGUUAUGCAGCAAGUUCUUAAUAUUAUUUCCCUUUUGUGGAAACUCUCUAAACAACAUGAUGAAACUCAUAAAUUGGAGUCAUGGCUUCGAAAGAAUUACCUUAUUGAUUUCAAACACCAUUUUAUGAAUAAUUUUCCAUAUGCCUUAAAAGAAAUAACCAAGCAAAAAAGGAAAGAGACAAAUAAAAGCAUCAAGCAUUGCACGAUUCUCUCGAAUAAUGUAGAUCAUCUUUUACUGAAUUUAACACUGUCUGAUAUCAUGGUCUCCCUGGCAAAUGCCUCAACUUUGCAGAAGGAUUCCAGUUGGAUAGAAAGGAUAAGGAAAUUUGUAACAGAAACCCUUGAAGAUGGCUCUAGGCUAAAUAGUAAGCAGCUGAACAGAUUGCUUGGAGUCUCCUGGAGGUUAAUGCAGAUACAGCCAAACAGAGAGGCGACAGAGUCUCUCAUAAAGGCAGUUUAUACAUUGUAUCAGCAAAGAGGCCUGCUCAUUCCAGUUCGGACUUUGUUACUGAAGUUUUUCAGUAAAAUCUAUCAAAAAGAAGAACUGAGAUCUUACAGAAUCCGAUACCGUAGUAAAGUGUUAUCACGUUGGUUGGCUGGUUUACCACUGCAGCUUGCUCAUCUCGGCUCCCGAAACCCUGAACUUUCAACACAGCUUAUUGACAUUAUCCAUACUGCUGCAGCCCGAGCAAAUAAAGAGCUGCUCAGAAGUUUACAAGUUACUGCUCUCCGAAUCUAUGAUCCACAAGAAGGCGCUGUGGUGGUUCUCCCAGCAGAGUCUCAGCAGCUUUUGGUCCAGCUUGUGUAUUUUCUACCCAGUCUGCCUGCUGACUUGCUUUCUCGGUUAAGUCGCUGCUGUAUCAUGGGAAGACUCAGUGCAGAUUUGGCUGCCAUGCUCAUCGGGAUACUGCACAUGAGAUCAUCAUUUUCUGGAUGGAAGUCUUCAGUGAAAGAACAGAAUGGAAGUGUACCAUUAAACAUCAGUAAUGCGGACUAUUUCAGCUUCUUAUUUUCAACACUUACAGGGUUUUCAAAAGAGGAACUGACUUGGCUUCAGAGCCUUCGAGGAGUGCCUCACGUCAUCCAGACGCAGCUUUCUCCUGUGCUGCUUUACCUCACUGACUUGGAUCAGUUUUUACACCAUUGGGACGUAACAGAGACAGUUUGUCACAAUUUAUUGGUUGUCCCUGUCCGAAGCCAAAGCUUUGACGUCCUGCAGACUGCCAUCAGUAAGCAUUUGGUUGGAUUGACUGUAAUUCCUGACAGCACGGCUGGCUGUGUUUUGGGUGUUAUCUGUAAGCUCCUGGAUCAUACGUGUGUACUUAGUGAAACUCUACUGCCGUUUCUGGCUUCUUGUUGCUACAGUCUGCUUUAUUUUCUGCUUACUUUAGAGAAAGGAGAAGCAGAACAUCUAAGAAAAAGGGACAAGCUCUGGGGGGUCUGUGUCUCCGUCCUGGCCCUCUUGCCUCGAGUCCUCAGGUUGAUGCUGCAGAGCCUGCGGGUGAACAGAGCUGGGCCUGAGGAGCUGCCUGUAGUGGGCCAGCUGCUCCGCCUGUUGCUGCAGCAUGCACCCCUCAGGACCCACAUGUUGACCAACGCCAUCUUGGUGCAGCAGAUCAUCAAGAAUAUCACAACACUGAAGAGCGGAGGUGUGCAGGAGCAGUGGCUUACAGACUUACAUUAUUGCUUCAACGUGUACAUCACUGGGCAUCCCCAGGGCCCCAACGCAUUGAAUACAGUGUAUUGAAAAGGCACUGCAGUACCUCUGUUGGAAACUGUUUAUUCACAUCUAAUUUUGAAGAGAGACUGAUGUCAUAAAUGUUUGUCAUUAAAGCUGAACUUUUAAAGAAGCUGUUUAUGAACCUUUCCUUUGCACUGAAACAGGAAAAUAAUGCUUGGGAGUUGCCACUGAUGCACAGGCUGGCUUCUUGGAUUAGCGUGUGAUGUGUGAUGUUCUUCAAGAGCUGGAAUGCACAGUUCGUACAGUGCCAGAGGAAAGGCAAUUUGACAAGAUGGCUCACCUCUGCAGGUCACGCAGAAAAUAGAAGUAG